GAUCAUGGCUCAGGAUGAACGCUAGCGACAGGCUAACACAUGCAAGUCGAGGGGCAGCACGGGAGUAGCAAUACUUGGUGGCGACCGGCGCACGGGUGAGUAACGCGUAUGCAACCUACCUAUCAGAGGGGAAUAACCCGGCGAAAGUCGGACUAAUACCGCAUAAAACAGGGGCACCGCAUGGUGAUAUUUGUUAAAGAAAUUCGCUGAUAGAUGGGCAUGCGUUCCAUUAGGUAGUUGGUGAGGUAACGGCUCACCAAGCCGACGAUGGAUAGGGGAACUGAGAGGUUGGUCCCCCACACUGGUACUGAGACACGGACCAGACUCCUACGGGAGGCAGCAGUGAGGAAUAUUGGUCAAUGGGCGGGAGCCUGAACCAGCCAAGUCGCCGUGAAGGAAGAAGGAUCUAUGGUUCGUAAACUUCUUUUGCAGGGGAAUAAAGUGCAGGACGUGUCCUGUUUUGUAUGUACCCUGAGAAUAAGGAUCGGCUAACUCCGUGCCAGCCGCCGC
rnacentral:rRNA from 1 species